rnacentral:rRNA from 1 species
GACGAACGCUGGCGGCGUGCUUAACACAUGCAAGUCGAACGAUGAUCCGGGUGCUUGCACCUGGGAUUAGUGGCGAACGGGUGAGUAACACGUGAGUAACCUGCCCUGGACUCUGGGAUAACCCCGAGAAAUCGGAGCUAAUACCGGAUAGGACCUUUCCUCGCAUGAGGUGGGGUGGAAAGUUUUUUCGGUUUGGGAUGGCCCGCGUUCCAUUAGCUUGUUGGUGAGGGAAAAGCUUACCAAGGCCUUGAUGGAGAGCCGGCCUGAGAGGGUGAACGGCCACACUGGGACUGAGAUACGGCCCAGACUCCUACGGGAGGCAGCAGUGGGGAAUAUUGCGCAAUGGGCGAAAGCCUGACGCAGCAACGCCGUGUGGACGAUGAAGGCCUUCGGGUUGUAAAGUCCUGUCACAGGGGACGAAGCCUCGACUUGUCGAGGUGACGGUACCCUGAGAGGAAGCCCCGGCUAACUACGUGCCAGCCGCCGCGGUAACAC